rnacentral:misc_RNA from 1 species
UCCGGUUUGUCACCGGCAGUCUCCUAUGAGUCCCCAACUGAAUGCUGGCAACAUAGGACGGGGGUUGCGCUCGUUGCGGGACUUAACCCGACAUCUCACGACACGAGCUGACGACAGCCAUGCAGCACCUGUCUCACGGUUCCCGAAGGCACCAAUCCAUCUCUGGAAAGUUCCGUGGAUGUCAAGACCAGGUAAGGUUCUUCGCGUUGCAUCGAAUUAAACCACAUACUCCACCGCUUGUGCGGGCCCCCGUCAAUUUCUUUGAGUUUUAGCCUUGCGGCCGUACUCCCCAGGCGGGGUACUUAAUGCGUUAGCUACGGCACGGAUCUCAAGGAAGAAACCCACACCUAGUACCCACCGUUUACGGCGUGGACUAC